AGAGUUUGAUCCUGGCUCAGGACGAACGCUGGCGGCGUGCCUAACACAUGCAAGUCGAACGGAACUGUUUUGAAAGAUUUCUUCGGAAUGAAUUUGAUUUAGUUUAGUGGCGGACGGGUGAGUAACGCGUGAGUAACCUGCCUUCAAGAGGGGGAUAACAUUCUGAAAAGAAUGCUAAUACCGCAUGACAUAUCGGAACCACAUGGUUCUGAUAUCAAAGAUUUUAUCGCUUGAAGAUGGACUCGCGUCCGAUUAGUUAGUUGGUGAGGUAACGGCUCACCAAGACCGCGAUCGGUAGCCGGACUGAGAGGUUGAACGGCCACAUUGGGACUGAGACACGGCCCAGACUCCUACGGGAGGCAGCAGUGGGGGAUAUUGCGCAAUGGGGGCAACCCUGACGCAGCAACGCCGCGUGAAGGAUGAAGGUUUUCGGAUUGUAAACUUCUUUUAUUAAGGACGAAAAAUGACGGUACUUAAUGAAUAAGCUCCGGCUAACUACGUGCCAGCAGCCGCGGUAAUACGUAGGGAGCAAGCGUUGUCCGGAUUUACUGGGUGUAAAGGGUGCGUAGGCGGCUUUGCAAGUCAGAUGUGAAAUCUAUGGGCUCAACCCAUAAACUGCAUUUGAAACUGUAGAGCUUGAGUGAAGUAGAGGCAGGCGGAAUUCCCCGUGUAGCGGUGAAAUGCGUAGAGAUGGGGAGGAACACCAGUGGCGAAGGCGGCCUGCUGGGCUUUAACUGACGCUGAGGCACGAAAGCGUGGGUAGCAAACAGGAUUAGAUACCCUGGUAGUCCACGCUGUAAACGAUGAUUACUAGGUGUGGGGGGACUGACCCCUUCCGUGCCGCAGUUAACACAAUAAGUAAUCCACCUGGGGAGUACGACCGCAAGGUUGAAACUCAAAGGAAUUGACGGGGGCCCGCACAAGCAGUGGAGUAUGUGGUUUAAUUCGAAGCAACGCGAAGAACCUUACCAGGUCUUGACAUCCAACUAACGAAGUAGAGAUACAUUAGGUGCCCUUCGGGGAAAGUUGAGACAGGUGGUGCAUGGUUGUCGUCAGCU
rnacentral:rRNA from 1 species